rnacentral:rRNA from 1 species
UACGUAGGGUGCAAGCGUUGUCCGGAAUUAUUGGGCGUAAAGAGCUCGUAGGCGGUUUGUCGCGUCUGCUGUGAAAACUCAGGGCUUAACCCUGAGCCUGCAGUGGGUACGGGCAGACUAGAGUGUGGUAGGGGAGAUCGGAAUUCCCGGUGUAGCGGUGAAAUGCGCAGAUAGUCGGGAGGAACACCGGUGGCGAAGGCGGUUCUCUGGGCCUGUACUGACGCUGGAGGAGCGAAAGCGUGGGGAGCGAACAGG